CGUGUGUGUGCGCAGGUCAGCGGGUCACACACACAAACGCGUGACGGAGAAUCUGGGCGUGACGUUUUACGUGAACGAGCGUUUUCUCUCAGGAGUUCAAGGGCUCGAGUCUGAAGCGCGUGGAGAACAGCGUCGAGGACGACUACAUCUCCAACCUCAGGAACAACUGCUGGAAGGAGAAACAGCAGAAGGAGGGUCUGCUGUAUCGCGCGCGGUACUUCGGGGAUAGCGCUCUGUUCCAGCGAGCGCAGCGGAUGGGAACGCCGAGCUGCUCCCGGCUCUCCGAGGUCCAGGCUUUACACGGAUAAUGAAGCGUCUCUGCACUGCCUGGUUCCAAAAACAAUCUCUCCAGUCUGGAAUAUGGAAGAAUGCCAUACGGAUUGUAAAUACAUUUGUUGAAGAAAAGAAAAAAAUAAGGUUGAACAUUUGCUACAACCAAUGAACUUGACUAGAAAAGACUUACUGAGGGCUGAAAGUGUGUGUGUGUGUGUGUGUGUGUGUGUGUGUGUGUGUGUGUGUGUGUGUGUGUGUGUGUGUGUGUGUGUGUGUGUGUG